AUCUCUAAUAUUCUUUGGUCUGAAAACUGGCAGCAGCUGGUGAUCCAGAGGUCUCAUGGCAGAAUGAAGGAAUUUACCAAAGCCAAGCCCUUUGACUCUGGGCCUAUCUAUUUCUUUGAUCAGUUGAAACCUGAACGGAAAGAUGGGAAAAGAUAACCUGUGAAGAAAGUUAUCCCACCCAAAAUGCACCUCAAGAGCUAAGUGUUGGAUCUUUCAACAUCCUUACUCAAAAUGGGAAAUUCUGAAGUGGAAGACAGUCCCCAGUAUAGCUGUGAAGAGACUACAAGUAGCCAUAAUUCAAAUCAAAAUAGAAGAAGCAAAGCAAAAAAAAGAGGGCGUCAACAAACAACUUAUCCGGCGCCGCUAUGAGGACCUGGAAGGCGUGGAGGAGAGCAGGGAUCAGCAGUGCUCACAGAGUUUCUGGCUGGAGCUGCUGGAGAAGAAGCCUCAGAUGCCAAUUGUCAAAAAGGCUGACCCCAACAUGAAAAAAUUCCAUUACGCUCUGGUGGAUGGCUCCUCUCUGACCUACUAUCCUUCUGGGCACCUAGCUGUCUGUCAGAGCUAUUCUGACCUCCCUUCAGGUGGUGUGUACACCAGCGUAUUCAGUGACUUGCCAAAUCCAGUUAUCCUUGGAACCUUUACACCUUUUGGAUGUGGCAGCAUUUCUUUUCCUAAGAGUCAUUCAACAGUUUCGAAAGACAGAUGAGCAAGCAUGAUGUAAUUUUACGGCAUUUUAAUUGAACAUCUUAUUCUGUGACACUACAGACAAGAUGGAAAAGUAAUCAUGACUUUCACGAAGAAAAAAUGGAUUUCACUUGAUAUUCCAGGGAUUGUUAAAGUUAGGUUCUUUUGACACUGUUUCUGACAAACAGUAGCAGUGAUGUUUAAUUAGGAAGGAGGCCUGGUGAUCAGCAGAAAAGGAAACAUCAUAAGGGAAUGGACCUGGCCUUCAAAAGGAAAACUUGAUAAUCCAGUGGAAAUUUGGGAUUAAUUCAAACACUUCUGAGCUGCCAGUCUGAAACUGUGUCCGGAAUUGGUGGAUUCUUGGUCUCACUGACUUCAAGAAUGAAGCCGCGGACCCUCGCAGUGAGUAAAUAGGUUCAUCACUGUGAAGAUUUCUGGACAUUCUGCCACCACCUUGGUCUACAAGUGGCAUUCCCAAAGCCUGAAGCUAUCUUUGGCACCUGUAAAACGCCAGCCUUUCCCUCCAUGCCUACCCAAAGUGGUGUUUCUAGGACUAUGGGCUUGUAACCUGCUGAGCUAGGUUUCACCUGCAGAUACAAAGAAGCUGGUUCACCUGCAGAUACAGAGAAACUGGGUGGAUGGGAGGGUAGAAUCACAGGGCUGGCAGGCAGUGCCACUGCCAUUGGGAGCUGAGUUAUGACUGUUAGCCAGUGGGCCCCAUUCUCCUUAUGAAGGCCUCUCCACAUAGCUGCUCGGGUUUCCCCACAACGUGGCAUCUGUUUGAAGAAGGAAGACUCCAAGAGGUGAAGAUGGAAACUAUACAUCUCUUAAUGCCUGGCCUCAAAAGUUACACAGUCUGCCAUUUUUCAAAGCCUGUCACAGGCCAGCCCAGAUUCAAUGGGAACAGAAAUAGCCUUCCAUCUCUUGAUGGGUAGAGUGGCAAAGAAUACACAGCCAUUUUCAAUCCACCAUAAGAACAUUUGAAGAAAAAGAUGAAAAUUUCAGAGUCAUUCGGAUUCCUUUCGGUUGCUCAAAUAUAACAUUGUAUCUGCUUCUAAAUUCAUGGGCAACAAUUGUCCUCUUCUGGUUCAAAGGCACAAUAUAAUCCCAGGAAUUUUUUUGCAAUCCAGGGGGUAGGUACUAAUUUUAUCCCUGAUAACAGAGGUGGAAACUGAGACACAGGUUAACUUAUCUAAGGUCAAGGAGCUCGCAUGUGGUGGGAUCAGAAUUCAAAUCCAGAUUUUCUCACUAUGAACAGAGACUGCUUUUAAUCAAAAUUCUGCAAGAGUUUCUACAAGGUGAAGUCUCAGCCCCCACUUCCUCGGACAUGCUCGUAAGAAGUGUAAAGUGUUCCCAGAUGAAUGCUUUCAGCUUGUUGAUGAGUUCCAGCUGGGGAGAAGAAAUAAUUCAACCGUACAUUUAGCAAGAAGGCACAGAGCCUACCUCAAUAUGCAAAGGAAUCCAGCUUGUUUCAAGUGUCAAGUGACAGUUUAGACAAGAGAAAAGGACUCAGUACAAAUGAGAUGGGACAGAGGUUGCAUCCCGUGCAUGUCUUCUGAGAUAUAUACAAAAUAGAGAAACAAAGACUAACUCAUCCACU
ensembl:lncRNA novel transcript